CUUCCUCCAGCAUGACACUUUUCUUUGUUUUUUCAUCAGCCUUUUGGAAAAAGGCCCAUAAUCCAUUUGUAAACAGCUUUUUACCAUACAACUACAGACUUAGUGGAUUACUGUAAGUACUAUAAUUGCCUAUAUCAUAUAAUGUGACUUUCCCUCUUUUGUUUCUAUUGUAUGCACUAUCAAAUAGAAUACGCAAUGUUACAAAAUACACCGAAGCGACAAACACAGUGGUUGGAUAAAGUCUGAGGAUGUGGAGUGGCCGGUCUCAACUCGGUCCUGGCUGGCAGCGGUACAGAUGCUGAGUGCCCCUCCCCUCCAGAAACAGCAGGGGAGUUUGCUGUCUGUCUUUCUGCCGGGGCGAACUGCCACAGAGUAACCAGCCAUCCAACACACACACACACACACACACCACACACACACACACACACACACACACACACACACACACACACACACAGAGUGCACCAAGAGUUCAGUGUGCGUUUACCUACAAUUAAGGGGAGUGGAAAUAUUUGGGGGGAAGUAUUCAGUUUAUCCAUCCACUGUUCUUUCGGUAGGAACGAGUUUCGCGUACUUUCUCCGCGCAUCAGGCAAUUAAAGGGGGACCGACGCUGCUGUCCGCAGGUUGGGCAUGUGUUGCAUGUGAGAGAAGACGGAGUGCGCAGAGGGGUGCUGCACAGGCCCGUACUGCUGAUAGAUGUGGGCACUCAAGCGGUGAAGAGAGAUACAUUACGCAAACACUACUCACAUGGGUGAAAUUGUGUCACUGCUCCCCUGAAGAUACCGUGGGGAGGAUAAGCCCCACCACCAGCACUAUCACUGUCAUUCACAAAGAGUGCAAAGACUUUAAACCUGCUGGCUUUCUCACUCUCUUUGCUGAUUGCCCAUCCAUCACACACAGCUCCAUAUCUGUAUUUCUAACCCUGAAGGUGUGAAGGUGCUUCAAUUUGUCAUCUUAGAUAAACAGCGGUCUGUUUAUCAGGGUCUAAUCCUCGCCACUUUAAAGCUACGGGGUGCUUGGAUGCGUGCCACUCUGCCCCGAUUCUCAGUAAUUAAUUCUGAAUUCAAGUUUCCAGAUGACAAAACUGGACAGUGAAAAUAAAAUAAGUGAAAUGAGUUGUACUUUUACAGCUUCCAUUUGGCAGUUUACAUUUUAUCAUGCAAUCCAAAUCUGUGUGCGCAAGCGUGAAUGAAUGUAUGUGCUCAGAUUGUGUAAUUAUAUAAAUUCCUACAUGCUGUAGACAGUAUAUGUCCCAAACGGUGAUUGUAUCUUCUCUUGUCUAUAUGUCCAGUUGCUCAUGUUUGGUUUCAUUAUUUAAGAUAUGUGAAUGUGUGUAUGCCACAUUGGAUCUAUUAAUCUAGGUUGACAGUGUUUAUGUUGUCACAAGACAGGUUGAUGUGUGUUAUCUGACACGGGGGUGGAAGGAUAGUAAUGAGGGAGAUGUAGCAAUAAGGUCGAAGGGGGUAUACAUUCUUUCGAUGCGUUCAUUAAUUUCUUCAUCGGUUGUCUGGUUAAUUAGUAGCUAGAUGGCAAUGUAAUGUGCAGGAAUUCAGGUUUAAAAACAAUGUUAAGCUUGUAGCUUUUUGUGGUUUUGAGAGUUGUUCAGACACUACUUGUUAACUUUUCAUUAACCCUUAGUUCCAGAUUUCAUUCUUAGUUGUCUCCUAAUAAAAAUUACACAGAUACAUAUUAUUAUUUGCAUGGCCUGUGUCCUGUGCUGAUUUUAGUUUCAGCAUCAAUGAAAAGACAUCUGCUGCUCUCUAAACUAUAAACCACAAAUGUAUUAAAAUGGACAACUACUGAAGUUCCCUACUGAAAAUGUCCAGUUUCUUCCCCAAUGAUUUCACCUUGUCACGUGUUCAAUUAGUGCACAUCGCUCAAGUUCUCCUUGCUUAUUAGUAAGAGAAAAGCCGGUGAGUGUUCCCAUGACUGCUCACUUAUACAUUGACAACACUUUGCAUUGAGUGUGAACUAAUGUCUGUGCUAUAGGCCUCUUUAAUGCACUGUGAAGUCCUAGACAGGACAUGGCCCAUUUUUUGUACACCACAUAAAGGAGGAGCUGACAAGGUCAUCAGCCAAUGCUUAAACUAUUGGCAAGUAUCAUUUAGCUAAAGAAUUAAAUUAGUUAUUCAAGUCAAAAGAAGAUGGAAGAGAGAGAGAGAAACUGAGAAAGGCAU
ensembl:lncRNA